AGACAGUUCGUUUUGGGAAGUCUCAGGGGCUGGCUAAGCUGAGUACUCUUGUGUCCAGGAGCAAUCUCCUCCAGAGAGCUGGCUGGAAACUGGGACUUCUGGACUUGAGAUCUCUCUGCCUCCUGCAAGGCAGCUCUGUAGGUGUAGGUCCCAGGAAACCUUUAACUGUGGGGAAGAAGACAUUGAACUUCAACAAAUCAGAAGCAUCUUACCGUAGAAAAGAAAGGAGUUUUAAUUUGACAGAGCUCGGGAGAUUUGAGCAUCUCCCCACCACCUAAGGUGGUCUGGCAGUGAAGAGAGGUAAGAGAAUCUGCAGACAAGGAUUACAUAAAGGUCUGGGGUAACAUUCCCUAUAGGAUGGACCUUUGCCCUGAUUAGUCAGCACAAAUGACUUCACAUCCUAAGUUGUAAAUGAGGAAAAACUUCUAACCCAAUCAGGGUUUUAGGGGUAUUAAAUUAUGUUAUAUGGGAGUUUUAAUGCCGAGACAGCCCUAACUUGGUCCCACAAGAAAGGGGUUAUAUGAUCCCAUUCUUUGCAAAACUAGUGAUCUCUGGAGAAAGAAACUUGAGCCUGG
rnacentral:lncRNA from 1 species